CUAGCAGGUACAAGGCUCUGGGUUUUAUCUCCAGCACUAGCAAAAAAACAAACACACACAAACAGGAGCCCUCCUGGAUCUCCCAUUUCCUCUUUAUGUGCUCUUCCCCUCUUACCCCGUGUCAAGCUACAUGCUAGGCAAGCACCAGUACUAUUGAGCUAUACCACUGAGCCCCUGAUCUACCUAACUUCUUGACAGCCUCCUUCUAACUGGAUUUCACAGAGGCUAGCUUUCUUUUCCCAAGACUUUGGUUUAACUUACUUCUGGAGCUGAUGGGGGGAAGAAACACUAGGAGAUAUGGGAAUUGUCUGCAGAAGAGGGUGGAAAUUGUGGAAAAUUCUCAAAUUUUGGCAAAAAGGGCUCAGUGAGGGCUGGGGUUGUGGCUCAGUGGUAGAGUGCUUGACUAGCAUGUGUGAGGCACUGGGUUCAAUUCUCAGCACCACAAAUAAACGAAUAAAGUAAAGGUCCACUGACAAUUUAAAAAUUAUUUUUAAAAAGGGGGCUCAGUGAAAGAUUUGAUAGGACUGAUGAGUGAACAUUGCGGAGAACAUGAAAAUUGUGGUAAUAAGAUUUUAUUGUACUUCAGUAGCAAAAGCAAUUACCUUCAGUUUUGAAGGGUCACUUUCCUUUUAUUGUCUAACUAUAAUCCUCAUUGGUGGCAGGAAUUUUUUUUCUCUAGAUUUUCAUUUACAGAUUUGUGCAAAAGCAAAGUUCUUGCUUUUAUCCUGGUUUUGUUUUCUUUUUCUAAGUUGAAGAAUUCAUCCAUAACUAGCUGGGUGUGGUGGCACAUGCCAGUAAGCCCAGGGAUUCGGGAAGCAGAGGCAGGGAGAUUGAAAGUUGGAGGCCAAUUUAGGGAGACCCUGUCUCAAAAUAAAAAAUAAAAAGGGCUGAGAAUGUAGCUCAGUGGUAGUGACAAGUACCAGAGUACAAAGUAACAUCUUAGUUACAUUUUUCUUCCCCACCACAUGUUUCCAUACCUACUUUGAAAAACCUAAUAGAUUUGUUUAUCAAAACACUGAUGAUUCCAAGCUAGGAUUAUUGGGGAGGAAAAUAAAGAAAAAGUAAAAGUUAAUAUAGGGGAUAUUUUUAAGAUUUCAC
rnacentral:lncRNA from 1 species